CCAUUAAGCUUCACUCACACACACACCUAAGGCCAAGAGAGAAAAUUGUGGGAUUUGUGUAGUCUUGUGUUGUUCAAGGCUUGAAGUGUAUGCUAGGAAGUAUUUUGGAAAAGAAGUUUAAAGGAACUACACGAAGAAGAGGGUUAAUAGACAAAGACCAGACCUCAAGGGGUUUUAUAGCUAAGGACGCAUAGUUUAUAUUUUGUUU